rnacentral:rRNA from 1 species
AUGCAUUGGGAAGAGUUUGGGUGGGUCGCGGUUGAUAUCGGACCUGUAAAUGAAGAAAUUUUCAUCGCAGUGGGCAUAAUUAAUGGUGUGGUGGGGCUUAGUUGCACGCUCGUUGGUCUGCCCAAGGCGAAGGAGUUCACCGUGGUGGACACGCCACUCCUGGAGCGGCUCUUCUUGCUCCUGCCGCCUAAUGGUGUGGUGGGGCUUAGGAUCGCUUGUGCUCCCAACCUGUGGGUGCUCGCCUACCUAGACACAAAGAGCUCGCAUGCUACAGAUUGGUGUCAUCAUCAUUGGGGCACAUCUCUCCGGUCUACAUCUCUCUUGCAACUUGAAAUUAUUCCAUCGACAUUGAUCCAACCAUCAUGUUGUUCUUUGUGA